rnacentral:rRNA from 1 species
GACGAACGCUGGCGGCGUGCCUAAUACAUGCAAGUCGAACGCAGUGGGGACGGGUGAGUAACACGUGGGUAACCUCCCAUCAGAGGGGAUAACACUUGGAAACAGGUGCUAAACCGAUACUGAUGGAUGGACCCGCGGUGCAUUAGCUAGUUGGUGAGGUAACGGCUCACCAAGGCCACGAUGCAUAGCCGGCCGGAGAGGGGGAUCGGCCACACUGGGACGGAGACACGGCCCAGACUCCUACGGGAGGCAGCAGUAGGGAAUCUUCGGCAAGGGACGAAAGUCUGACCGAGCAACGCCGCGUGAGUGAAGAAGGUUUUCGGAGCGUAAACUCCUUUUGUUAGGGAAGCGGUACCUAACGAAUAAGCACCGGCUAACUCCGUGCCAGCAGCCGCGGUAAUAC